UGGCUUCAGAAGGUGAUGAUCAGUAACAUGCAGCUUUUUUUAGCCUUUUAAAAAAGUUUUCCAGUGUCAUAGCAAAGUCUGUAGUUUUUGUCAGACUGAAUUUGUGUAGCAGAUAGGAAGUAGCAGCUGGAAAUGAGAGGCUCACAUCACUGUCCAGGGGAGGCCGGGUGCCAUCCUAAAGGAGAUGAGGUGGAAAGAGAUUGAGUUGGGAAUACUGCAUCCCUGCUAAUUUAGAAGGAGUCAAGAAAUACCUGCAGAGGACAUUCAAAGUCAUUGACUUCUACAUGGAAUUCAAAUUCAGGAAAAACAAGUUUCUUGCUAUGUAUAAAACACAAGGCUUCUCCAUAAUACAAAACACACCCAAAAACAGAGAUAGAAAGUUGCCUGUAAAACACAUGAUGUUUGCAAAGCAGACAUCAGUGUUUAGCUUAUCUGAGAAGAUGCUGCUGGAAUUGCAAGAGCUGCCAAAAACUGUAAAGCCAGAGAGGGAGCAAAGACAGCUGUUAAUAUCCAAGCUGGACAUGAAGCAACAGAAGAGUAACUGCUCCAAACAGAGCCUAGUGUGGAACACAGAGCCCAGGAAGCAGAAGAUAAGCAAAUGGAAAAAUGACUUAACAUGAGACAGAUGUCUUAAGGCAAAAAAAAAAAAAAAAAAAAAAAAAAAAAAAAAAAAAAAAAAAAAAAAAAAAAAAAAGGCA